GUGCUCUGCAGUUACAUUCCUAUGAGGAGACAGACUUGGUCUCAUGGGUAAAGAGACAUUAUUUUUUUGGAGAAGCAGAACUUCAGUUGACUUCCUCACAAUCAAUGGGAUUGACCAAUCCAACUGUCAAGUCAGCAGGAACAAGAGGAUGGCCACAUCGCAUCUCAGCAACAUGUGCGGUGGCUCCAGAUUUCCCUUUCUGGAAGUUGAAGAGAUUUGUCCCAAUAUUUUCACAGCCCAGAUAAUGACAUAUGAGGUCAAGAUGCUCUCCAAGAACUCUUCCAACCAUGGGCGGGUGCUACAGUGUCUCCCUGGGAAUUUGAAGAAGGCACUGUCUCACCAAGGGUGCUGAUGCUGAUCAUUCUGCAAAGAGAUAAAAAUGUCAAGGUCUGGAAGAAAGAGGACAGUAGAAUGGAAAUUUCUAACACUGUGGAUCUUCAGCAUUUUCAGAGUUGGAAAUUCCCUUAUGUCUCAUAGAUUUAGAUCAGAGAUGGAAACUGACAGAAGGACAAUAAAACCUACACAGAAAAGAGAGAAGGGUAGUCUAGCAGGAUAAAAUCAUCUAGGAAGUUUAGAAUGAAAUACAGAAAUGCAAAUCCAAGCAUAUUCUAUUCAUUGAAAGCUCUAGAAAUAGUGAAAAUUCAAGCUUUUAGGAAGGCAAACACUGUUAUCAGUUUUAAAAAGUCCUUCCAUUUUUCUGAGCUUAUACUAAAUCCCCCAUUUUCCCUUCUAAUUCUUUAUUUCAGGAUCACUGGAUUCCACUAUGUUUGAGGGGAAAAGAAGGAACUAUAAACCUAAAUUAUAGCCA
rnacentral:lncRNA from 1 species